rnacentral:rRNA from 1 species
CACGAAGGGGGCUAGCGUUGCUCGGAUUUACUGGGCGUAAAGGGCGCGUAGGCGGACGAUUUAGUCAGAGGUGAAAGCCCGGGGCUCAACCCCGGAAUAGCCUUUGAUACUGGUCGUCUUGAGUUUGGGAGAGGUAUGCGGAACUCCGAGUGUAGAGGUGAAAUUCGUAGAUAUUCGGAAGAACACCAGUGGCGAAGGCGACUUACUGGACACAUAUUGACGCUGAGGUGCGAAAGCGUGGGGAGCAAACAGG